rnacentral:misc_RNA from 1 species
CGUCCGUCUGUCUCACUCUCUCUCCCUCGCAUUCCACAGUAAAGGUAAGCGGCGACGGAAGCAAAGACCGUGCUGUUCAGUCUCUUUGCCGCCUUCAUUGACGCUUUCUCCGUUUUCCUUCUUAGGCUUAGUUUUUGGAAUUGAUGGCGUCCAAGUUGCAGCAGUUGCAGUCCAAGGCAUGUGAAGCUUCUAAGUUUGUGUCUAAGCAUGGAACUGCCUACUACAAGCAGUUGUUGGA